rnacentral:rRNA from 1 species
CCUACGGGUGGCUGCAGUGGGGAAUAUUGCACAAUGGGCGCAAGCCUGAUGCAACCAUGCCGCGUGUGCGAAGAAGGCCUUCGGGUUGUAAAGCACUUUCAGCGGGGAGGAAGGCGGUGAGGUUAAUAACCUCAUCGAUUGACGUUACCCGCAGAAGAAGCACCGGCUAACUCCGUGCCAGCAGCCGCGGUAAUACGGAGGGUGCAAGCGUUAAUCGGAAUUACUGGGCGUAAAGCGCACGCAGGCGGUCUGUCAAGUCGGAUGUGAAAUCCCCGGGCUCAACCUGGGAACUGCAUUCGAAACUGGCAGGCUAGAGUCUUGUAGAGGGGGGUAGAAUUCCAGGUGUAGCGGUGAAAUGCGUAGAGAUCUGGAGGAAUACCGGUGGCGAAGGCGGCCCCCUGGACAAAGACUGACGCUCAGGUGCGAAAGCGUGGGGAGCAAACAGGAUUAGAUACCCUAGUAGUC